rnacentral:rRNA from 1 species
CCUACGGGUGGCAGCAGUGGGGAAUAUUGCACAAUGGGGGAAACCCUGAUGCAGCAACGCCGCGUGAAGGAAGACGGUUUUCGGAUUGUAAACUUCUGUUCUUAGUGAAGAAUAAUGACGGUAGCUAAGGAGCAAGCCACGGCUAACUACGUGCCAGCAGCCGCGGUAAUACGUAGGUGGCAAGCGUUGUCCGGAAUUACUGGGUGUAAAGGGAGCGCAGGCGGGAAGCCAAGUCAGCUGUGAAAACUACGGGCUUAACUUGAGUGCUGCAUUUCAAACUGGAAGUCUAGAGUGCAGGAGAGGAGAAUGGAAUUCCUAGUGUAGCGGUGAAAUGCGUAGAGAUUAGGAAGAACACCAGUGGCGAAGGCGAUUCUCUGGACUGUAACUGACGCUGAGGCUCGAAAGCGUGGGGAGUAAACAGGAUUAGAUACCCUGGUAGUC